AAGUCGUAACAAGGUUUCCGUAGGUGAACCUGCGGAAGGAUCAUUACCGAAGUCAUAGAGUUUGAGACUGCGUCUUCAAUGGCGUGUGCUCGGCUCUUACUCUUCUCUAUCCACACCUUUGUGCACCAUGGGAUGAAAUAAAAGUCCCCUUUUUUAUAUUAAUACCUAGUUAUAUGCAUGUCCUUAUAUACUCUAAGGAGUUAAUACAACUUUCAACAACGGAUCUCUUGGCUUUC
rnacentral:misc_RNA from 1 species